rnacentral:rRNA from 1 species
CCUACGGGAGGCAGCAGUGGGGAAUAUUGCACAAUGGGGGAAACCCUGAUGCAGCGACGCCGCGUGAGUGAAGAAGUAAUUCGUUAUGUAAAGCUCUAUCAGCAGGGAAGAAAAUGACGGUACCUGAGUAAGAAGCCCCGGCUAACUACGUGCCAGCAGCCGCGGUAAAACGUAGGGGGCAAGCGUUAUCCGGAUUUACUGGGUGUAAAGGGGGCGUAGACGGCAGUGCAAGUCUGGAGUGAAGGGCGGGGGCUCAACCCCCGGACUGCUCUGGAAACUGUACGGCUGGAGUGCAGGAGAGGUAAGUGGAAUGCCUAGUGUAGCGGUGAAAUGCGUAGAUAUUAGGAGGAACACCGGUGGCGAAGGCGGCUUACUGGACUGUAACUGACGUUGAGGCUCGAAAGCGUGGGGAGCAAACAGGAUUAGAUACCCGAGUAGUC